rnacentral:rRNA from 1 species
CAACCAGAAAGCCACGGCUAACUACGUGCCAGCAGCCGCGGUAAUACGUAGGUGGCAAGCGUUAUCCGGAUUUAUUGGGCGUAAAGCGAGCGCAGGCGGUUUUUUUAAGUCUGAUGUGAAAGCCCUCGGCUUAACCGAGGAAGCGCAUCGGAAACUGGGAAACUUGAGUGCAGAAGAGGACAGUGGAACUCCAUGUGUAGCGGUGAAAUGCGUAGAUAUAUGGAAGAACACCAGUGGCGAAGGCGGCUGUCUGGUCUGUAACUGACGCUGAGGCUCGAAAGCAUGGGUAGCGAACAGGAUUAGAUACCCUGGUAGUCCAUGCCGUAAACGAUGAAUGCUAGGUGUUGGAGGGUUUCCGCCCUUCAGUGCCGCAGCUAACGCAUUAAGCAUUCCGCCUGGGGAGUACGACCGCAAGGUUGAAACUCAAAGGAAUUGACGGGGGCCCGCACAAGCGGUGGAGCAUGUGGUUUAAUUCGAAGCAACGCGAAGAACCUUACCAGGUCUUGACAUCUUUUGAUCACCUGAGAGAUCAGGUUUCCCCUUCGGGGGCAAAAUGACAGGUGGUGCAUGGUUGUCGUCAGCUCGUGUCGUGAGAUGUUGGGUUAAGUCCCGCAACGAGCGCAACCCUUAUGACUAGUUGCCAGCAUUUAGUUGGGCACUCUAGUAAGACUGCCGGUGACAAACCGGAGGAAGGUGGGGAUGACGUCAAAUCAUCAUGCCCCUUAUGACCUGGGCUACACACGUGCUACAAUGGAUGGUACAACGAGUUGCGAGACCGCGAGGUCAAGCUAAUCUCUUAAAGCCAUUCUCAGUUCGGACUGUAGGCUGCAACUCGCCUACCACGAAG